GUUCUUCUCUUACGUUGCCGAUAACGUGCAGCCAGAGACACCGGUGCAGCCGGAGAGUUUCCAUCUGCCAAACAAAGUUACACGGAUUAUGGAUCGGACACACCCCCUUCCUUUAUUCUGACCAAUCAGAGAUGAACAUAGAGCGAAGUUCAUGUGAGCAGCUUCGUCACUCCUGCCCUCGCCGAUCUCAAUCCGGAGAGAACUAGCUCGGAACAAAGAUGCUUCUGAUACUGCGAUUGAUCCUCUGCGUCCACUAUACAACCUCGGUGACGGUCCGUCAGACUCCGGACGCUCUGUCUAUAUUUCCCGACCAGAAGGUGGUGGUGAAUUGCAUUGUAGAUGGCGGUAGCAGCAGUAACUCCAGGUAUUGGUACAGACAAUACCCGGGAGCGGGGCCACAGAUCCUGUUUUCUUCAGCAGGAGAGGGAAACGUGCAGCCAGAUAAUUCGGUGGACGGAUUGAAGGCAGAGAGACCGAACCUCAACGAGUUCUAUUUAAAGUCCUCCGUCUUAGAAGCAAAGUCGUCGGCCGUGUAUUUCUGCGCCUGGUCCACACAGCGACUCGGAGAAACGAGGGUGACACACAAAAACCUCACACAUCCUUCCAUUUACAGUGAGCGCCCCCCUCUGGCACAGGCGGCUUGGUGCCAUCGCAACAACCUGGAGCGCAAUGCACUUCAAAGAGCGGGAUUGACUACAUAUAUGACAGACCCGUGA